rnacentral:SRP_RNA from 2 species
GCCAGGCAUGGUGGCGCAUGCCUGUAAUCCCAGCUACUCAGGAGGCUGAGGCGGGUGGAUCACCUGAGGUCAGGAGUUCGAGACCAGCCUGACAAACAUGGAGAAACGCCGUCUCUA